rnacentral:rRNA from 1 species
UACAGAGGUCUCAAGCGUUGUUCGGAUUCAUUGGGCGUAAAGGGUGCGUAGGUGGCGCCGUAAGUCGGGUGUGAAAUUUCGGAGCUUAACUCCGAAACUGCACUUGAUACUGCGAUGCUCGAGUACUGGAGAGGAGAUUGGAAUUUACGGUGUAGCAGUGAAAUGCGUAGAUAUCGUAAGGAAGACCAGUGGCGAAGGCGAAUCUCUGGACAGUUACUGACACUGAGGCACGAAGGCCAGGGGAGCAAACGGG